GAUGUAGAGCUACGGCGGAAAUCGGUUUUAGUUGGGCCUAAGGCUUGCACCAGUUAGUAGCAAAGAAUAUUUUGUGCCGCGAAAUAAAUAAAAAAAAAUCAAACUUAAAAUGAGUGAAGCUCAGAAUUUGUUUACCACCUUUGGCAUUUUGGCCAUACUCUUGUUCUUUUUGUGGAUCAUCUAUGCUGUGUUGUAGAUCAACAUAGUGGAUGGGCUGUAGCGGCAUGGAGUGGGGAAAUGCAGUGCAAACAACAACAACAACAAUAAAACAAAAUGAAUGAAGCUAAAAGUUUGGUCACCACCUUCCUGAUUCUGGCCUUCUUGCUAUUUCUGCUCUAUGCCUUCUACGAAGCCGCUUUCUAAAUCAUGUUAAUCAUAGCUAAAGGAUAGUUCAAGGAUAUGCUUACAUGUUGAAUUUUGAUUCAAUUGUUUAUGUUUAGGAUUUUUCGUAGUCACGUUACGCGUUUAAGCUGCUAGCAUUUAAUGGAUUUCUAUAUAGUACACUAAGUCAGAUGACGUCAGCGCCGCAGGUAGCGCACAGCUGCUCACUUUGGAGGGCUUGCCAGCAAGAAUGGACCAGCUAGCGUGUUGCACGCGCAAUGCAGUUCCCAUGGCCUGUUGGCGUUGUCAGUCAUCUGUGCUAAUCAAAAGAAUUUUAUAAAUUUUGUAUUUUGUUCUAAAUCGUUUCGCAAUGGAAUUUUAACUAAUUUAACAAUUAUAGACCAUGAUGUACAGUA